AUUGAACGCUGGCGGCGUGCUAAACACAUGCAAGUCGAACGAGAACGGAUUAUAGCUUGCUAUAAUUGUCAGCUAAGUGGCGCACGGGUGAGUAAUGUAUAGGUAAUAUGCCUCUUACUAAGGGAUAACAAAUGGAAACGUUUGCUAAUACCUUAUACUCCUUAUUAACAUAAGUUAAUAAGGGAAAGAUUUAUUGGUAAGAGAUUAGCCUGUAUUGUAUCAGUUAGUUGGUGGGGUAAUGGCUUACCAAGACUAUGACACAUAACUGGUUUGAGAGGAUGAUCAGUCACACUGGAACUGAGACACGGUCCAGACUCCUACGGGAGGCAGCAGUGGGGAAUAUUGCACAAUGGACGAAAGUCUGAUGCAGCAACGCCGCGUGGAGGAUGACACAUUUCGGUGCGUAAACUCCUUUUAUAUGAGAAGAUAAUGACGGUAUUAUAUGAAUAAGCACCGGCUAACUCCGUGCCAGCCGCCGCAGUAA
rnacentral:rRNA from 1 species